rnacentral:rRNA from 1 species
UGAGGAAUAUUGGUCAAUGGGCGAGAGCCUGAACCAGCCAAGUAGCGUGAAGGAUGAAGGCUCUAUGGGUCGUAAACUUCUUUUAUAUGGGAAUAAAGUUUUCCACGUGUGGAAUUUUGUAUGUACCAUAUGAAUAAGGAUCGGCUAACUCCGUGCCAGCAGCCGCGGUAAUACGGAGGAUCCGAGCGUUAUCCGGAUUUAUUGGGUUUAAAGGGAGCGUAGGCGGGUUGUUAAGUCAGUUGUGAAAGUUUGCGGCUCAACCGUAAAAUUGCAGUUGAUACUGGCAUCCUUGAGUACAGUAGAGGUAGGCGGAAUUCGUGGUGUAGCGGUGAAAUGCUUAGAUAUCACGAAGAACUCCGAUUGCGAAGGCAGCCUGCUGGACUGUAACUGACGCUGAUGCUCGAAAGUGUGGGUAUCAAACAGG